rnacentral:sRNA from 1 species
GCUGGGCAUGGUGGCGCAUGCCUGUAAUCCCAGCAGCCUGGGAGGCUGAGCCAGGAGGAUCCCAAGUUCAAAGCCAGUCUCAG